GACGAACGCUGGCGGCGUGCCUAAUACAUGCAAGUAGAACGCACAGUUUAUACCGUAGCUUGCUACACCAUAGACUGUGAGUUGCGAACGGGUGAGUAACGCGUAGGUAACCUGCCUGGUAGCGGGGGAUAACUAUUGGAAACGAUAGCUAAUACCGCAUAAUAUUAAUUAUUGCAUGAUAAUUAAUUGAAAGGUGCAAUUGCACCACUACCAGAUGGACCUGCGUUGUAUUAGCUAGUAGGUGAGGUAACGGCUCACCUAGGCGACGAUACAUAGCCGACCUGAGAGGGUGAUCGGCCACACUGGGACUGAGACACGGCCCAGACUCCUACGGGAGGCAGCAGGAGGGAAUCUUCGGCAAUGGACGAAAGUCUGACCGAGCAACGCCGCGUGAGUGAAGAAGGGUGUCGGAUCGUAAAGCUCUGUUGUAAGAGAAGAACGGGUGUGAGAGUGGAAAGUUCACACUGUGACGGUAUCUGACCAGAAAGGGACGGCUAACUACGUG
rnacentral:rRNA from 1 species